rnacentral:misc_RNA from 1 species
GAAGCCCAUCUCUUCACAGCUCGACAAGCAGUGGAAAAAAAAGUCUGAACUUGAUCACCUUGCAAGGAGGAGUUUACUUUAUCUGCCAUUGAUAUUUAGAAAGAAUAAGAGGAAAGACUGGUUUCAACUUCUCUGUUAGGCGAUGGGUUUGUGGAGUAUCACAAUUCUUGCACACGUAAUAUUAAAUACAGGACUUCAUGGUGG